rnacentral:rRNA from 1 species
UAAGGUUUCCAGAGGAAGGCUCGUCCGCUCUGGGUUAGUCGGGUCCUAAGCUGAGGCCGACAGGCGUAGGCGAUGGAUAACAGGUUGAUAUUCCUGUACCACCUAUAAUCGUUUUAAUCGAUGGGGGGACGCAGUAGGAUAGGCGAAGCGUGCGAUUGGAUUGCACGUCUAAGCAGUAAGGCUGAGUAUUAGGCAAAUCCGGUACUCAUUAAGGCUGAGCUGUGAUGGGGAGAAGACAUUGUGUCUUCGAGUCGUUGAUUUCACACUGCCGAGAAAAGCCUCUAGAUAGAAAAUAGGUGCCCGUACCGCAAACCGACACAGGUAGUCAAGAUGAGAAUUCUAAGGUGAGCGAGCGAACUCUCGUUAAGGAACUCGGCAAAAUGACCCCGUAACUUCGGGAGAAGGGGUGCUCUUUAGGGUUAACGCCCAGAAGAGCCGCAGUGAAUAGGCCCAAGCGACUGUUUAUCAAAAACACAGGUCUCUGCUAAACCGUAAGGUGAUGUAUAGGGGCUGACGCCUGCCCGGUGCUGGAAGGUUAAGAGGAGUGGUUAGCUUCUGCGAAGCUACGAAUCGAAGCCCCAGUAAACGGCGGCCGUAACUAUAACGGUCCUAAGGUAGCGAAAUUCCUUGUCGGGUAAGUUCCGACCCGCACGAAAGGCGUAACGAUUUGGGCACUGUCUCAACGAGAGACUCGGUGAAAUCAUAGUACCUGUGAAGAUGCAGGUUACCCGCGACAGGACGGAAAGACCCCGUGGAGCUUUACUGUAGCCUGAUAUUGAAAUUCGGCACAGCUUGUACAGGAUAGGUAGGAGCCUUUGAAACGUGAGCGCUAGCUUACGUGGAGGCGCUGGUGGGAUACUACCCUAGCUGUGUUGGCUUUCUAACCCGCACCACUUAUCGUGGUGGGAGACAGUGUCAGGCGGGCAGUUUGACUGGGGCGGUCGCCUCCUAAAAGGUAACGGAGGCGCUCAAAGGUUCCCUCAGAAUGGUUGGAAAUCAUUCAUAGAGUGUAAAGGCAUAAGGGAGCUUGACUGCGAGACCUACAAGUCGAGCAGGGUCGAAAGACGGACUUAGUGAUCCGGUGGUUCCGCAUGGAAGGGCCAUCGCUCAACGGAUAAAAGCUACCCCGGGGAUAACAGGCUUAUCUCCCCCAAGAGUUCACAUCGACGGGGAGGUUUGGCACCUCGAUGUCGGCUCAUCGCAUCCUGGGGCUGUAGUCGGUCCCAAGGGUUGGGCUGUUCGCCCAUUAAAGCGGUACGCGAGCUGGGUUCAGAACGUCGUGAGACAGUUCGGUCCCUAUCCGUCGUGGGCGUAGGAAAUUUGAGAGGAGCUGUCCUUAGUACGAGAGGACCGGGAUGGACAUACCUCUGGUGUACCAGUUGUCGUGCCAACGGCAUAGCUGGGUAGCUAUGUGUGGACGGGAUAAGUGCUGAAAGCAUCUAAGCAUGAAGCCCCCCUCAAGAUGAGAUUUCCCAACUUCGGUUAUAAGAUCCCUCAAAGAUGAUGAGGUUAAUAGGUUCGAGGUGGAAGCAUGGUGACAUGUGGAGCUGACGAAUACUAA